UUGCCCUGAAACAAGAAGCUUGUUAACCAGACUUCUGAGGAUAAAGAGAGCCUGGACUCAAGAGCAAUCCCCAGGAGCCAGAGGAGCAAAGGGAGGAGGCCCAAGAGGAGAGUGGGGAUGCCUAGUUCAUGUCUGAGCCAGGACCAGCAUCCAGGUCUCGACUGCCACUCCCAGGAUCCUGCAUUUGGGAGCCCCCAGGUGAAUCAUGCUGUUAGACUGCCAAGUGGAGGGAUAGAGGCAAGGUCCUGCCUUCAAAGACAUGAAUGUCGCAUGGAAAGAACAGGGCAACACACACGAAUCCACUAUGGAGUAUCGUAAGCCAGUGUACCACUGAAGGCUCACGGAGCAUUUCUGAGGAACUCAGUAAAACGAAUAAUGAUUGUAGACUAUCGUUAGUCAAAUACAACUUAACUGGGAAAAUGGAACUGGACCAUGGUCUUGAAAAACAAGUGGAGCUAGAGAAUCAAUGUGAGGGCUGAGAUGAAGGUAUGCAGUUUGUCAACCUCCACAGUAUAAAAAAAAAGUAAGCAAAGAAAGUGAAGCAAAAGAAAACUCAGGAGUAU
rnacentral:lncRNA from 10 species